GGGGUCGUGGGGUAGCUUGGUCUAUCCUUCUGGCUUCGGGGCAAUAGCGGAAAAGCCAGAGACUCGAGUUCAAAUCUCGGCGACCCCA
rnacentral:tRNA from 1 species